rnacentral:rRNA from 1 species
UGCAAGUCGAACGAUGAUCUCCAGCUUGCUGGGGGGAUUAGUGGCGAACGGGUGAGUAACACGUGAGUAACCUGCCCUUGACUCUGGGAUAAGCCUGGGAAACUGGGUCUAAUACCGGAUAUGACCAUUCCACGCAUGUGGUGGUGGUGGAAAGCUUUUGCGGUUUUGGAUGGACUCGCGGCCUAUCAGCUUGUUGGUGGGGUAAUGGCCUACCAAGGCGACGACGGGUAGCCGGCCUGAGAGGGUGACCGGCCACACUGGGACUGAGACACGGCCCAGACUCCUACGGGAGGCAGCAGUGGGGAAUAUUGCACAAUGGGCGGAAGCCUGAUGCAGCGACGCCGCGUGAGGGAUGACGGCCUUCGGGUUGUAAACCUCUUUCAGUAGGGAAGAAGCGUAAGUGACGGUACCUGCAGAAGAAGCGCCGGCUAACUACGUGCCAGCAGCCGCGGUAAUACGUAGGGCGCAAGCGUUAUCCGGAAUUAUUGGGCGUAAAGAGCUCGUAGGCGGUUUGUCGCGUCUGCUGUGAAAGACCGGGGCUCAACUCCGGUUCUGCAGUGGGUACGGGCAGACUAGAGUGCAGUAGGGGAGACUGGAAUUCCUGGUGUAGCGGUGAAAUGCGCAGAUAUCAGGAGGAACACCGAUGGCGAAGGCAGGUCUCUGGGCUGUAACUGACGCUGAGGAGCGAAAGCAUGGGGAGCGAACAGGAUUAGAUACCCUGGUAGUCCAUGCCGUAAACGUUGGGCACUAGGUGUGGGGGACAUUCCACGUUUUCCGCGC